UAGCCAAGGACAAACUUGCCGG
rnacentral:miRNA from 1 species